AAAGGAACCUGACCGGAUACAAGAAGGGACAACAUACUCACCAGCCAAUGCCCGGCGUACCGCCCGCAGCAUAACAAGUGUAGACAGUCCUGGCAGAAGACAAAGAAUUCAGCGUCCACUGUGUCUUUCUAAGGUGUUCCAGGCGCCCCCUGCUGGGCGUUCUGAGGAACUGCAGCCAGGACCUGUGAGGAAAGCACGUGUAGGUGAGCCCACGCUCCACCAGAAGGCAGCCGAGAUAAGUAACCGGCAGAGAGAAGAGGAGACCCAGAGAGUGAAGAGCUGAAGGCAGAGAAGACCCAGAAGAGACAGGAACAGGUAAGAGCAGGGGAGGAACAGAGCAAGAAGGAAGGAGGGAACAGCGA